rnacentral:rRNA from 1 species
AUACGUAGGGGGCGAGCGUUGUCCGGGAUGACUGGGCGUAAAGGGUACGUAGGCGGCCAGGUAAGUCAGAUGUGAAAGGCAUAGGCUCAACCUGUGUAAGCAUUUGAAACUGUCUGGCUUGAGUUAAGGAGAGGAAAGUGGAAUUCCUGGUGUAGCGGUGAAAUGCGUAGAUAUCAGGAGGAAUACCAGUGGCGAAGGCGACUUUCUGGACUUAAACUGACGCUGAGGUACGAAAGCGUGGGGAGCAAACAGGAUUAGAUACCCUGGUAGUCCACGCCGUAAACGAUGAGUGCUAGGUGUCGGGGGUUAAACCUCGGUGCCGGAGUUAACACAUUAAGCACUCCGCCUGGGGAGUACGUUCGCAAGAAUGAA